rnacentral:lncRNA from 1 species
AUAAAUUCAGGGCGCUGUGAACAUAUCUGUGUAGAGAUUAGAUGUCAAAUGCAUGCACGGUGAGAUUUUAACAUUACAUGUGAAAUAUGGUCGGUUUCUUCUGGCUAGAAUCUCGAGGGCUUGGGCAUGUUCUCGACGAUAGGUCUAUCACAAUCCACAAGCUUGUUCCCAAGAUAAGUGCGAACCAGGGUAAGACAAAAGAACAAUCAUCGAGAGCCAUCCACAAGAGUCGACAUGGUUGUGCGGUUAAGCCAAUCCAGCAGAUUUUCAUGGCUAAUCUCAAGGAGUCAGCGUCAAGGUUUGGACCACUGUCAUUGGGGCAAUCAUUCCCUUCCUUCGUGUCUUCUCUGUUCCCUUUUGUUUUUAUUGUGGGGGGCAAUUUGAACCAAGCAACUUCGAUUAUCUACAUUGCCCGAUUUUCUGCCGUAACUUAUUUCUCUAUUUUUCGUGGCUAUAUCCGAUUAUAUUUCUUAUUUUUGGUGUUAGACUAAGCCGUUUUCUUGAUUUUCUAGGUCAUCCAAUGUGAUUGCGGAAGCUAAUGAUUUGAAGGAUUGUUCUAACUCAAGGCUCAGAUAUUCGCAAGUAACUUUCCCUAUUUGAUUUGAUUUGAUACUCGGUAUUGUCAUGAUAGCUUCUUGGCCGUCGGAUUCGACUAAUGAAUUUUUAAGUGGUUUUAUCCGAUUGUGUUUGUGGGAAUAUUGCUGGUAUUUGCUGUUGGG